UACGUAGGGGGCGAGCGUUGUCCGGAUUUAUUGGGCGUAAAGAGCUCGUAGGCGGCUUAGCAAGUCGGGUGUGAAAACUCCAGGCUCAACCUGGAGACGCCACUCGAGACUGCUAUGGCUAGAGUCCGGUAGGGGACCACGGAAUUCCUGGUGUAGCGGUGAAAUGCGCAGAUAUCAGGAGGAACACCGGUGGCGAAGGCGGUGGUCUGGGCCGGCACUGACGCUGAAGCGCGAAAGCUAGGGGAGCAAACGGG
rnacentral:rRNA from 1 species